rnacentral:pre_miRNA from 1 species
UUGGAUCGGACCUCUGCUGGUUUCUGCCGCAGUGAUAUUCCAACGUAGUGGUUAUCACCGGGUGAAAACUGGUAGAGGUCCGAUCCAGA